CUACGGGGCGCACCAGUGAGGAAUAUUGCACAAUGGGGGGAACCCUGAUGCAGCAACGCCGCGUGGAGGAUGACGCAUUUCGGUGUGUAAACUCCUUUUAUAUGUCAAGAAAAUGACGGUAGCAUAUGAAUAAGCACCGGCUAACUCCGUGCCAGCAGCCGCGGUAAUACGGAGGGUGCAAGCGUUACUCGGAAUCACUGGGCGUAAAGGACGCGUAGGCGGGUUGGAAAGUCAGGUGUGAAAUCCUACAGCUUAACUGUAGAACUGCACCUGAAACUUCUAAUCUAGAGUAUGGGAGGGGUAGAUGGAAUUAGUGGUGUAGGGGUAAAAUCCGUAGAUAUCACUAGGAAUACCUAAAGCGAAGGCGAUCUCCUGGAACAUUACUGACGCUAAGGCGUGAAAGCGUGGGGAGCAAACAGGAUUAGAUACCCGCGUAGUC
rnacentral:rRNA from 1 species